GGCCCCGUAGCUCAGUUGACUAGAGCGUUCGUACUAAAGCCUUCCCCAUGCUGGCGUGGGUUUGAAUCCCACCGAGGCCA
rnacentral:tRNA from 1 species